rnacentral:rRNA from 1 species
GCCUGUUUAACAAAAACAUCGCCUUUUGUAAAAAUAUAAGGUCUAGCCUGCCCACUGAGGUUGAAGGGCCGCGGUAUUUUGACCGUGCAAAGGUAGCAUAAUCAUUAGUCUUUUAAUUGAAGGCUGGCAUGAAUGGUUGGAUGAGGUAAAAUCUGUCUCUUAUAAAAUAAUAAAAACUUAGCUUUUCAGUCAAAAGGCUGAAAUGUUGUUAGAGGACGAGAAGACCCUAUAGAUCUUUAUAAAACUAUUUAAUAAUGUUAGAUGAAGUUUAUUAAUAAAAAAUUUUUAUUUGGUUGGGGUGACAAGGAAAUAAAUUAACUUUCUAAUAAAAAACACUUAUGAGUGAAUAAAUGAUCCAUAAAUUAUGAUUGAAAGAAUAAGUUACCUUAGGGAUAACAGCAUAAUCUUCUUUGAGAGUUCUAAUCGACAAGAAGGGUUGUGACCUCGAUGUUGGACUAAGAUUUAGCCAAGGUGCAGUAGCUUUGGGUAAAGGUCUGUUCGACCUGUAAUAUCUUACAUGAUCUGAGUUCAGACCGGAGCUCU